AAAUUGAAGAGUUUGAUCAUGGCUCAGAUUGAACGCUGGCGGCAGGCCUAACACAUGCAAGUCGAACGGUAACAGAAAGCAGCUUGCUGCUUUGCUGACGAGUGGCGGACGGGUGAGUAAUGUCUGGGAAACUGCCUGAUGGAGGGGGAUAACUACUGGAAACGGUAGCUAAUACCGCAUAAUGUCGCAAGACCAAAGAGGGGGACCUUCGGGCCUCUUGCCAUCGGAUGUGCCCAGAUGGGAUUAGCUAGUAGGUGGGGUAACGGCUCACCUAGGCGACGAUCCCUAGCUGGUCUGAGAGGAUGACCAGCCACACUGGAACUGAGACACGGUCCAGACUCCUACGGGAGGCAGCAGUGGGGAAUAUUGCACAAUGGGCGCAAGCCUGAUGCAGCCAUGCCGCGUGUAUGAAGAAGGCCUUCGGGUUGUAAAGUACUUUCAGCGGGGAGGAAGGGAGUAAAGUUAAUACCUUUGCUCAUUGACGUUACCCGCAGAAGAAGCACCGGCUAACUCCGUGCCAGCAGCCGCGGUAAUACGGAGGGUGCAAGCGUUAAUCGGAAUUACUGGGCGUAAAGCGCACGCAGGCGGUUUGUUAAGUCAGAUGUGAAAUCCCCGGGCUCAACCUGGGAACUGCAUCUGAUACUGGCAAGCUUGAGUCUCGUAGAGGGGGGUAGAAUUCCAGGUGUAGCGGUGAAAUGCGUAGAGAUCUGGAGGAAUACCGGUGGCGAAGGCGGCCCCCUGGACGAAGACUGACGCUCAGGUGCGAAAGCGUGGGGAGCAAACAGGAUUAGAUACCCUGGUAGUCCACGCCGUAAACGAUGUCGACUUGGAGGUUGUGCCCUUGAGGCGUGGCUUCCGGAGCUAACGCGUUAAGUCGACCGCCUGGGGAGUACGGCCGCAAGGUUAAAACUCAAAUGAAUUGACGGGGGCCCGCACAAGCGGUGGAGCAUGUGGUUUAAUUCGAUGCAACGCGAAGAACCUUACCUGGUCUUGACAUCCACAGAACUUUCCAGAGAUGGAUUGGUGCCUUCGGGAACUGUGAGACAGGUGCUGCAUGGCUGUCGUCAGCUCGUGUUGUGAAAUGUUGGGUUAAGUCCCGCAACGAGCGCAACCCUUAUCCUUUGUUGCCAGCGGUCCGGCCGGGAACUCAAAGGAGACUGCCAGUGAUAAACUGGAGGAAGGUGGGGAUGACGUCAAGUCAUCAUGGCCCUUACGACCAGGGCUACACACGUGCUACAAUGGCGCAUACAAAGAGAAGCGACCUCGCGAGAGCAAGCGGACCUCAUAAAGUGCGUCGUAGUCCGGAUUGGAGUCUGCAACUCGACUCCAUGAAGUCGGAAUCGCUAGUAAUCGUGGAUCAGAAUGCCACGGUGAAUACGUUCCCGGGCCUUGUACACACCGCCCGUCACACCAUGGGAGUGGGUUGCAAAAGAAGUAGGUAGCUUAACCUUCGGGAGGGCGCUUACCACUUUGUGAUUCAUGACUGGGGUGAAGUCGUAACAAGGUAACCGUAGGGGAACCUGCGGUUGGAUCACCUCCUUACCUUAAAGAA
rnacentral:rRNA from 1 species